rnacentral:rRNA from 1 species
GUGCACCAGGCGCGAAUUUUUCACAAUGGGGGAAACCCGUGAUGGAGCGACGCCGCGUGGAGGAUGAAGGCGUUUUCGUUCGUAAACUCCUGUCAAACGGGAACAAGAAAGUGAUAGUACCGUUAGAGGAAGAGACGGCUAACUCUGUGCCAGCAGCCGCGGUAAUACAGAGGUCUCAAGCGUUGUUCGGAUUCAUUGGGCGUAAAGGGUGCGUAGGUGGCUUGGUAAGUUGAAGGUGAAAUCUCGGGGCUUAACUCCGAAACUGCCUUCAAUACUGCUGAGCUCGAGGAUUGUAGAGGAGAAUGGAAUUCACGGUGUAGCAGUGAAAUGCGUAGAUAUCGUGAGGAAGACCAGUGGCGAAGGCGAUUCUCUGGGCAAUUCCUGACACUGAGGCACGAAGGCCAGGGGAGCAAACGGGAUUAGAUACCCGCGUAGU